rnacentral:rRNA from 1 species
AUUGAUGAUCUGCUUCCAAGAAAAGCCUCUAAGCUUCAGGUUACAUGUAAUCGUACCGUAAACCGACACAGGUAGUUAAGUAGAGAAUACUAAGGC